rnacentral:ncRNA from 1 species
CAAAAUUUAUUAUGAGUUUAUUUUACAUAUAAAUUUUAGUAUAAAAUUUUAAUUAUUUAAAAAAUAAUUAAUUUAGGGAUUAUAGUAAUUAAAAUUAAAAAUUUAAGAAAUUAAGAUUUAGUAAUAUAAAAAUUAAUAACUAAUUUUGUGCCAGCAGUUGCGGUUACACAAAAAUUAAAUUAAAUUAUUUCAGUACAUAAUAAAUAAAAUAUAAUUAAAAUAAAUAUUGAAUUAUUAGGUGAAAUUUUAAUUUAAUUAAAUUUUAAGUUAAUUUUAUGAUUUAAUAAAUUUAAUAAUAAACUAGGAUUAGAUACCCUAUUAUUAAAAAUUUAAUUAAUAAUACUAAAAUAGUAGAUAAUAAAUAUUGAAACUUAAAUAAUAUGGCGGUAUUUUAGUUCAUUUAGAGGAAUCUGUUUAAUAAUUGAUAAUCCACGAAUAAAUUUACUUAAUUUAAUAUUUUAUAUAUCGUUGUUAAAAAAAUAUUUUAUUAGAAAAAUAAUAUUUUAAAAUUUAAAAGUAAAAUUAAUUCAGAUCAAGAUGUAGAUUAUAAUUAAGAAUAUAAUGGAUUACAAUAAAAUAAUUUAAAUGAAUAAUUAAUUAUAAGAUUAAUUAGAAGGUGGAUUUAAAUGUAAUUUUAAUUAGUUUAUUAAAAUGAUUAAAAAUUGAAAUAUGUACAUAUUGCCCGUCACUUUCAUUUUAAAAUUGGAAUAAGUCGUAACAAAGUAGAAGUACUGGAAAGUGUUUCUAGAAUGAA